UACGUAGGUGGCAAGCGUUGUCCGGAUUUACUGGGCGUAAAGCGCGCGCAGGCGGACUGAUCAGUCUGGGGUGAAAUCUCCCGGCUCAACUGGGAGCGGUCCCUGGAUACUGUCAGUCUUGAGAGACCUAGAGGAGAGCGGAAUUCCCGGUGUAGUGGUGGAAUGCGUAGAUAUCGGGAAGAACACCAAUGGCGAAGGCAGUCCGCUGGGCCGUUGCUGACGCUGAGGCGCGACAGCGUGGGGAGCAAACAGG
rnacentral:rRNA from 1 species